GGUAACAUAGAUCAUGUUAUGAUCCCUCUUGUUGUGAUCAUGAGCUGUCCUUGUGAUAUUUAUUAUGCGCCACUACUUCUCCGUUUGUUAAUGCUGCAGGCCUCCAAGAUAAGUACUGCUGCCUGAAGGAUGGUUUGGGAUCAUGUGUUCAGGAGUGCGACUCCAAGAUCAAAUACUACUGCUGCCUCAAGACUGGACUCGGCGGCUGCAAGCAACUCUGCGAGACCAAUGUCGAAUACUUCUGCUGCCUCAAGAACCCUUUUGGUACCUGCUUUCAGCUGUGCGACUCGUCCAAGGAACACUACUGCUGCAAGAAGAACGUUUCUGGUUCCUGCGUUGGAAUGUGCCCCAAAACGGUGAACCUGAUGAAGUGAUCUGCGUUUGAUGACAAGUGUAAGCAACAUCUAAAAGCUUAUAAUUGCUGAUACUCUCUACAACUUUUAUAUUUUUACAAGAUUUUCGCUAUACUUUUACUUUUUUCAACUGAGUUUGUAAGGUAGCUUGCCAUGCCACUGCUGCUGGAUCGUCCAUUGGGAGACAAGUAGCUUUGAACAAGUCCUCAUUCUAGUUCACGUCGCUCAGCACCAGGUCGCCAUCGCUGGUAAAGCUGAGGUACGCUCCUUCCGGGACGGUUUUCGCGUAGCUCGCCAUGUCAGCGCUGCUAGAUAGUAGAGAUUGAAACUCUCCUUGUCGUCCAUGGCGUAGAAGACUGACAAGUAGAACUGGAACUCUUGGGAGGUUUGCUCCCAGCAGCUAAGUAGGAGGCAGGAAGGGGUGCUAAAGCCAAGGCUAAUUCGAAAUAUCUGGAGUGGAUUCGAGAGUGGAGCUUGGAGGAAGAUGGCGCUUCCAGUGACAUUGGAAGCUUUGUGUGGUCGACCAACACAGGAGGAUCUGGAGCGCAAGUCUUGGCCCUCGAGAGCUCUGGAAAUCUCGUCAUCCGGAGCAAAAUUGGAGAUUUCCUGUGGCAGAGCUUUGAUCAUCCCUGUGAUGCUGUGCUCCCUGGGAUGAAGUUAGUAGCCAGCAUCUCUAAGGAGAACAAAGAGCCAGGGUACUUCUCACUCGAGGUAGCCGCUUCUCGGUCGCUUUGAACUCCAGUAUGUUGAGAAUCUUUUGGAGAGGUCUGGAGCUCCGAUGAGGAAGAAGAAGAGAUAUCAUUUCUCUUCCUCGUCAAUAGCAGCUUGGAAAUCCACGGGACGAAAGGUGUUAUGUGGUCCACUCCAACGAUCGGUGGUGUUACUGAUCAAUCAGGGCACCAGUUCCUCAAGAUCUACUCGAAUGGAGAGCCCCGGUUUACCUCGAGAUCAUUCAGCACCGGCAACAGCACGAAGAGCAUCAACUUAAACCCGCUCUUCUUUGGGAAAAGCUCGCUUACUCGAACCUGUGGGAUCUCGUUCGAGACAGCUGAAGGAUACCUCUGCAUCGUUCACGAAGUACGUUUCUUCCGGGGACAAGGAGGGAUGCAAGCACCUGGAAGAACCUGCGAGAACUCGCAACAUCACUACAUGCUCGAAGCCACAGUACGAUACUUCUACAAACCUCUAGAUUUAUCCAGUGCGCUCCACAACGUCACUCCAGCAGCGUGCAUGGCCCUGUGUAUCAAAAACUGUUCCUGCAAAGGGGUGCUAAGCCAGGAGAAACAACUACCUGUUUCCAGAUGACCGAAGUUUUUUCUCUGAACAAAACUCGCAACGUCGUCGAUGAAGCUUUGCUGUUUUCGAUCAAGUUGUACCAAGCUGGAGAUCUUCCAAAGCUCUCAACACCAGGCAACUCACAAAGUCGCCAAGUAGCAAAAACAGGCAAAGCCAGCCAUCGUCGCGGUUUUCUCUGUGGCGACCAUGGCUAUAAUCAUCAUCGCAAUGGUGACCUGGAAGAAACAGAUAAACUCGUACCUCAAACACUACAAACCAUCGUUGGUGCGCGUCUUUAAUUACCCGGAGCUCCUCACUGCAACCAAAGCCUUCAGUGCGAAAAUCGCAAGUGGAGGCGUUGGCACGGUUUUCGAAGGGAUACUCUCCGUUGCCGUGAAACGGCUGGAGAGCUUCUCGAGCCAAGGAUACAAACAGUUCAAGGCGGAGGUGAGAGCGAUCGGAAUCAUCCAUCACAAGAACCUUGUAAGACUCAAAGGCUUUUUUUCCCAGGAAUCACACUACUUCCUGGUUUACGAGUACGUAGCAAACGGGUACAAGCCGCGGGAAGACACGAGAUUCAAGAUAGUCGAGGAGAUUGCUCGAGGGAUGUGCUACCUCCACGAGGAAUGCAGCACUAGAGUUCUGCACUUGGACAUCAAGCCGCAAAACCUACUCCUGGACGAAAACUUUGGUGUCAAGAUAGCAGAGUUUGGACUGUCGAGGAUGGUAGAGCAAGGAGAUCUAAGCGAUGUCAUGACAAUGAUCUGAGGAACACCCGGAUACAUGGCUCCGGAAUGGUUGCAGAUGCGAGUGAGAGACAAACUGGACAUCUACAGCUUUGGGAUCCUUGUGCUGGAAGUGGCGCUUUCCAUACCUGUGUGUCUUGCGGGAGGAGCCCAAAGUUCCUGGCGGUUUGAGAAGCUUCGGUCUGGGAAGUUAAUGGAGAUGUUAGAAGAGAAGAGGGCGCGGCAAGAAAUGGAGGCUACCUCUAAGGCCGAGAAGCUGCUUCGCAUUGGAGUGUGGUGCAUCCAACCGGAUUCUCAGCCAAAUUGUGGGAAUCCACUGACACUCAUAGAUUUUGUAUGAGAGGCACCAUUCUAUCGAGAUUUAGUGGCACCAAAGCAGCGCCCGCCCUGCAAGUGCCCUAAGAUUCUUCGAGGAUAUUAUUUAUUAUUUAGAUCCAGGCUUAGUUUGUUAUAUUUUUGUUUAGUUAAGUAAAAAUAAAAUAGUUUAAUUUUUAUUUAUUUAUAAAUUAUUUAUUUUUUAAACGUAAAACCUUUGACAAGCGUUUGAGAGGAAUGCCCAAAUUUUUAUUUCUUUUUAAUUUCUAUAAUAUUUCUAAAACAUUGUUACUCUUUAAAUGUCAUUUAUGAAAAUCCAAAUUCUAUAUCAACCAGUUUUAAACAUAGAAUCAUGGGUUUUCUUUUAGACUUAUUAAAGACGUAGGAAGAAAAGAUAAUUAUUACUCAGGAUUUUCACUUUCUAAAGUAGUGUUUUCAAAAAAUGGUAAAUGACAAUAUCAUUAUUAAAUGCACAACCAAAUAGUAGAUAAAAUAUUUAGGCUUUGAUUUACAAGUAGAAUCUGGCUGAUUUUGUUAGGGAUGAUUUUGUAAAAUAUUAUAUCAAUGGACGGUUUAGCAUAUCGUAUCAGCUUGAUUCAGAUUAUAUUUUUCCAGAUAAAAUAAAACUUGCUUAUUUCACCCUACAAAACCAUAUAAAAACGAUUGCAAUAUUAUAAGGUAUGCGACCACACCAUUCUGUCUUUUCUACUUUCUGCAAUCUUUAAAUGGUUUAUUCAUGCUUUACAUGCAACUGGACUGCAAUCUACAAAGAGUAUAAUUGUUUGGAGCACUCACACAAAUAGCUUUCUAAGGUUGCAAAAAGAUGGAAAUAUGGUAAUCUAUGGUGAAAAUUACACGGUUGUUUGUUCAGACAGCAUUUACUGGAAAGACAAAUGGAUUACUAGUGCAUUAUGUGUUGAUAACUCUGGACUUGUUGUAGUAUACAACACUGUAGAGCAAACUUGUAUAUGGCAAUCACCAAGAUGAGAAUUUAAAAUCUAGCAUUCACUCUACACAAAUAUGAGAUAGAAGGACAUAAGUUGAUGCUCCAGAAGCUCUUGCGAUGGCGCUUGGAGCAGCCAUGUUUCCAAGCCGAUUAUUGCCAUGAGUUUUACAAGCUCCAAGCAGCGUCAUGUAGGCAAUGGAGCCCGGCUCGAUUGGCAUGCUAUCGAUCACCUCUUGGGCCUCGUCAAGCCGGCCAGUUCGCCCAAACAAAUCGAUCACACACAUGAAAUGCUCCAGGUUUGGAGCUAUGUGAUGAUCGAGCACAAGAGACUGGAAACUAUACUUACCACUCUCAAAGAGCCCGGCAUGGCUACACGCAGAGAGAACACUGACAAACGUGACUUCGUCCGGAUCAAGCCCCUCGAGCUUCAUCCUCCAGAAGAGAUCAAAAGUUUCCUCAAAAUGCCCGUUGUUCGCAUACACCGAGAUGAUUCCAUUCCAUGAAACCACGUCCUGCCUUGUCGUUGCCUCAAACGCCACCUUUGCCCCUCGAAGGUAUCCACACCUCCCAUAAAAGUUGACCACGGCAUUGUUUGUCAUCACAUCGGAUUGAAACCUAGAGUGAUGGAGCUCACCAUGCACAAGCUUUCCCUUUUGGAGAGCGGUGAUCCUCCCAAGGGCGUCAAGAACAGCCAAGAAACUCACCUUGUCCGCCUGGGUGCCUUCCAGAUCCAUUUGGUGGAAGAGCCGAGCAGCACUCUCGCAUUCCCCGGCUUGGACGAAGAUACAAAUCAAGGUGUUCCACGAGACCGUGCUUGGCUCCUCCAUUUUCUCAAAGAUUUCCUUCGCUUUGUGGAUAUGCCCGGCUUGGGCAUGCGCCACCAUAGCUGUGUUGUGCGAGAAGCUGUCCCAGCAGGGCAUCCUUUUCGUGAGAAUCUCCAGAGCCUCGUCCACUCUCCCGUGCUGGAUAUAAGCCGCCGCGAGCGUGUUAAACGAGACCACGUCUGGAGAAGGAAUGGUUUCCUCGAGGAAACUCGCGGCCUUGGCGAGAUGCCCGUUUUGGGCAUAUGAUCUUAGCAAAGAGUUCCACGAGACAGUGGAUGGGUGCUCGAUGCGAUCAAACACUGCCUUGGAUUCCUCCACUCCCUUGCAUUUUCCAUAGCUCGCCACCAGUGAAGUCGCCACGGCGAGAUCGGAGAUCCAGCCAGUGUGAUCCGCCGCUGCGUGAACUUGGCGGCAGUGGGAGAGGCUCGAGAGGCCCGAGCACGCAUCGAGAGCUGCGAGGAACGUCGCGCGGUCGGGUGUUGUGUCGAUCUGCCAGAACAGCGCGAGUGAUUCCUCGCAGUGACCGAGCUGGGCAUAGGCCGCGAUGAUCGAGCUCCACGAACUCGUGUCUCGCUGCUCCAUCCGAUCGAAUACCCGCCUCGCGCUGGCGAGGUGGCCUCUCUGGAGAUACGCGGUGAUCAGCGCGUUGCAUGCCGCGAUAGUGAUCUCUGCCGAGAUCUCGAGCAAGAACAGUGCUUGAUCGAAGUGUCCCUGCUGGGCUUGAGCUCUAGCGACGAUGCUCCACGAGGAAAGAUCUCUCCGGGGCAUUGUCUUGAAAAGGAGCAUCGCUUCGUCGAGGCAUCCAUUGUGAGCAUACGUCGCGAUCAUGGCGUUCCAGAGCUCUCUCCGCCGCUUCUUCUGCUCGAAGACGAGCUCGGCCCUCUCCACUGCACCGGAUCUCCCGAACAUCUUGAUCAAGGAGCAUGAUACUCCGUGAUCGCUACGCAAGGAUCCGCAGGCUUGGCUCAAGUGGAAGAUCCUCUCGCAUCGAUCAGGAUCGCCAAGGCUGCCGCAGGCGUCGAUGGCGAUGAUGUACGUGAGUUUGUUCUUGAGGACGUCCAUUGAAUCGAAAAGGUCUAGAGCUUCUAGCAGAUGCCCAAGAAGGGCAAGUGCUGUGAUCAUCGCGUUCCAGAGAGUGGCGUCCUUGUGGCUUGUUUGAUGAAAUAUCUCAAGCAACAAAACCAUGUCACCUUUCGAAGCAUAAGCUAUGAGAAGUGAUGUUCUUGAACGAAGAUCGUGGGCUGGGAGUCUUUCAUACAAAUCUAUGGACUCCAAAAAAUGCCCUUUUAGGGCAAAUGCUGAGAGUAGAGCGUUCCAGACAGCCAAAUCUCUUUGUUUCAUGCAAUCAAAGAGAUCCUUUGCAUCCUGGAGCCGUUCAUGGCGAGAUGUGGCAUCAAUUAUCGUCGUCCAGGAGAUCACAUCAACGCAAGGCAUUCGGUCGAAGAACUCUCGCGCUUUGCAAAGAUUCCCUGAUUGGGCAUACGCGGAAAGCAUGGCGUUCCAGCAUAUCGCAUUCCUGCCAAUGAUCCGAUCAAAGAAAUGCUCCGCGCUCUCGGCCUCGCCAAUCUUUCCAUAAACCACAACGAGCGCCGUCCCGACAGCGAUCUGGGUGUGAAUUCCCAGCUGGAUUGCUUCCAUGGCAAUCGCCCUUGCCAGAUCUCUAUCCAGCUCUUCGAUCCCGGCAAUGGCAUCGAGAACGCUCACGAAGCUGAUGGAAUCCGGUGCCACGCCCUGGAGAUCCAAGCCCCGGAAAAAUCCCAGCGCCUCUCUGCAAUGCCCAUUCUGGGCAUACGCCGCGAUGAUCGUGUUCCAGGACACAAGAUCUCUCUCCGGCAUGGAAUCGAAGAGCUCCUGCGACCGCGAGAGAUUCCCAGCGCCGGCGUACCCGCUAAUCAGCGCAUUCCAGGAGACCACAUCGCGAUGAGCCAUUCGCGUGAAAACGUCCCUGGCUCUGGCAAGAUCCUCUGUCUGGGCAAAUGCUCGAAGCAAGAUCGUCCACGAGUAGACGUUGUGGCGGGCUGCGCCGCUGUGGAAGACGUUCUCGGCAUCGCGCAGGCUGCCGCAGACGCUGUACAUGUGAAUGACAAGAUUCGCGACGAAUGUGUUGCGAUCCAGGCCUGCCCUGGCGAUCUGCGAGUGGAGAAUCCGCGCCUCCGUGGGAGAUCGGCAUUUUCGGAGUAGUGCCGCCGCAGCAUCUACGCGCAUAGAACCAUAAUGCGUUUUAGGGUUCUAGAAUAUUUUCUUGGGCUGUGCUAUGUUUCUUCGAAUGCUGUCCUUUGUCAGUUUAAAAACUUAGAUUGCUAACCCAUUUAUGAUCAAUUUUUUGUUCUCGGGAGAUAGAUUCAGUUUUGAUCUGAUGUUCGAAUUGAAGAACUGUCCAAGCACUGAGCUGAACCAUCACACUUUCAUUCACACUAGACAUCCAGAAUUGUCACAUGGUUCACAGUUGAAUCAGGUAGCUGAGGUUGACACACAUUGUGCAAGCACAAUUUCUCAAUCUUGAGUAUGAAUUUGGCGUUUGGACAAGGAUUUCUCCCUUUCCUUGAAUCCUUCUACUUUGAUUUUUUCACUAGCACUUGGGCACCACUAAUUUUCAGGAAGUCUCAAGAGAGAAAUUCAUUGUUUCCAUUUAGAUUCUUCUUCCAGCUUGGUUUUCUACUCAACACCAAAUGCUUAGUGUGGAUACCUCGGAGGGGCAAGGUUGGCUUUUGAGGCAACGACAGGGCAGGACGUGGUUUCAUGGAAUGGAAUCAUUGCGAACAACGGUCAUUUUGAUUAAACUUUUGAUCUCUUCUGGAGGAUGAAGCACGAGGGGCUUGAUCCGGACGAAGUUACGAUUGUCAGUUCUCUGUGCAUGUAGCCACGCCCGGCUCUUCGAGAGUGGUAAGCAUAGUUUCCAUUUGCAGGUUAUUGGAUUUAAGUGCUUAGGGUGUUCUCUAAAAUAAACCAUGUGAACUGUGAAUUGGCCGGCUUGACGAGGUCCAAGAGGUGAUCAAUAGCAUGCCAAUCGAGCCGGGCUCCAUUGCCUACAGGAGCUUGUAAAACUCAUGGCAAUAAUCGGCUUGGAAACAUGGCUGGUCCAAGCGCCAUCGCAGAGCUUAUGGAGCAUCAACUUAUGUCCUUCUAUCUCAUAUUUGUGUAGAGUGAAUACUAGAUUUUAAAUUCUCAUAUUGGUGAUUGCCAUAUACAAGUUUGCUCUACAGUGUUGCAUACUAUAACAUGUCCAGAGUUAUCAACACAUAAUGCACUAGUAAUACAUUUGUCUUUCCGGUAAAUGCUGUACGACCAGACAACCAUGUAAUUUUCAUCAUAGAUUACCAUAUUUCCAUCUUUUUGCAACCUUAGAAAGCAUCCAUUGCCUUUGUUAUUUGUGUGAGUACUCCAAACAAUUACACUCUUUGUAUGUAAAACUAGAUUGCAGUCCAGUUGCAUGUCAAGCAUGAAUAAACCAUUUAGAGAUUUCAGAAAGUUCCCAUUUGAUAAUGUGGAAAAGACAGAAUGGUGUGGUCCAUUUCUUGCAUACCUUAUAAAAUCGUUUUUAUGUGGUUGUAAGUAAGCUUUACUUUAUAUGUGGAAAAAUAUAAUCUGAAUCAAGCUGAUAUGAUAUGGUAAAUCGUCCAUUGAUAUAUUCUGCCAAUUCAAAUUUUACAAAAUCAUCCAUAACAAAACCAACCAUCAUAUCAAAUCAGGAAAGGUAUUCCAUCUACUAUUUGGUUGUGCAUUUAAAAAUGAUAUUGUCAUAUUUAAGGAUUUAAAUUUUUUCAAAAACACUGAGUAAUAAUUAUCUUUUCUUCCUACUUCUUUAAUAAGAUCUUUAAGAAAAACCAUGAUUCUAAAGUGGUUUUCAUAAUUGGCAUUUAAAGAACAACAAUGUUUUAGUAAUAAUAUUUAUGUAUUAUAGAUAUUAAAAAGAAAAAAUUAGGCAAAUAUUCCGUUUUAAACUUUUUGGUUUGCUUAAGCUGGUACUGGAUAUACCUAGAAUAUUCUAGAAUAUUCUACCAUUUAACGGUUGUUAUUCAUGUAUUUGUAAUUUAUAAACAUGUUUAUAAUUUAUUAAAUUUCUUUAAAACUUUCUAAUAUAUUCUUUUUAUUUUACCAUCUAAUGAUUGAUAUGCAAUACUUAAUCUUGUAUUUAUAAAUUAUAAACAUGUUUAUAAUUAUAAAUUUUUAUUUGGUCAAUUGGAUUAAUAAGUACUAUUAAGAAAAUCAAGCAUUGCUACAUGCAACACGUAGCAAAUUAUUUAUUUUACUUAACUAAACUAAAAUAAAUAAAUUAAGCUAGACUAAACUAAACUUUAUUAACUUCUUAAAAUUCUCAUUGCUCAAAGAAUUUUAGGGCACUCUUGAGUCAUUGCAGGGUGCCGCCUUGGAUCCGGCUGGAUGCACCACACUCCAAUGCAAAGUAGCUUCUUGGCCUUAGAGGUAGCCUCCAUUUCCUGCCGCACCUUCUUCCUCUUCUAACAUCUCCAUUAACUUCCCAGAUCGAAGCUUCUCAUGCCGCCAGGAACUUUGGGCUCCUCCCGCAAGACACACAGGUAUGGAAAGCUUGUAGUCCGGUAGCCACUUCCAGCACAAGGCAAAGCUGUAGACGUCCAGUUUGUCACUCACUUUCAUCUGCAACCAUUCCGGAGCCUCAUUGGCAUGACAUCGCUUAGAUCUCCUUGCUCUACCAUCCUCCACCUCGACAGUCCAACGUCUGCUAUCUUGACACCAAAGUUCUCAGCCAGGAGUGUGUUUUGGGGAUUGAUAGCCAAGUGGAGGACUCUAGUGCUGCAUUCCUCAUGGAGGAAGCAAAUUCCACGAGCAAUCUCUCGACUAUCCUGAAUCUCGUGUCCCAGUUGUGCUCUUCUCGCGACUUGUAGAUCUACUUGUCUAGGGAUCCGUACUUGUAAACCAGGAAGUGGUGUGAUUCCUGGGCAUUGGGAUUUUUCGGCGCUGGGAUUUUUCCGGGGCUUGGAUCUCGAGGGCGUGGCACCGGAUUCCAUCAGCUUCGUGAGCGUUCUCGAUGCCAUUGCCGGGAUCGAGGAGCUGGAUAGAGAUCUGGCAAGGGCGAUUGCCAUGGAAGCAAUCCAGCUGGGAAUUCACACCCAGAUCGCUGUCGGGACGGCGCUCGUUGUGGUUUAUGGAAAGAUUGGCGAGGCCGAGAGCGCGGAGCAUUUCUUUGAUCGGAUCAUUGGCAGGAAUGCGAUAUGCUGGAACACCAUGCUGUCCGCGUAUGCCCAAUCAGGGAAUCUUUGCAAAGCGCGAGAGUUCUUCGACCGAAUGCCUUACGUUGAUGUGAUCUCCUGGACGACGAUAAUUGAUGCCACAUCUCGCCAUGAACGGCCUCAGGAGGCAAAGGAUCUCUUUGAUUGCAUGAAACAAAGAGAUUUGGCUGUCUGGAACGCUCUACUUUCAGCAUUUGCCAAAAAGGGGCAUGUUUUGGAGUCUAUAGAUUUGUAUGAAAGACUCCCAGCCCACGAUCUUCGUUCAAGAACAUCACUGCUCAUAGCUUAUGCUUCGAAAGGUGACAUGGUUUCGUUGCUUGAGAUAUUUCAUGAUAACAUUUGAUAAUGAUGACUAAUACGCUCAUAAGCAUUUGUGAAAACUUUAAACCGUCUUUACAACCUUGAUUAUCAGAUUGACAUCUCAUUAGUCGAUGGCAUCUUUCAUAUUGUCUCUCUUGUGCAUAAGGAGGAAAAACUUAAACCAAUCAUAGGUUAUAUUCGAGCCGUUCAUUAGCUAUCUAAUUAUAAAAUUAUAGUCUCUAGCAUAUCCGUUAACAACAUUUACUAAUUAAAAUUUAACGUUACUAAUUUAGAGUUAGUCGUUAAACAUUUAAUGUGGGCGUGACUAAACGCGCCAGAGGAAGUGAGGAGUGAAGAGAGGGGAGGAAGUGAGGAGUGAGCAUGGCAAAGGGGCAACCACGUAAGAGAGGAGGGUGCUGUAUUAUGCAUUUCUCCCGAGAUCUUUCCUCGUGGAGCAUCGUCGCUAGAGCUCAAGCCCAGCAGGGACACUUCGAUCAAGCACUGUUCUUGCUCGAGAUCUCGCCAGAGAUCUCUAUCGCGGCAUGCAACGCGCUCCGCGUACCUCCAGAGAGGCCACCUCGCCAGCGCGAGGCGGGUAUUCGAUCGGAUGGAGCAGCGAGACACGAGUUCGUGGAGCUCGAUCAUCGCGGCCUAUGCCCAGCUCGGUCACUGCGAGGAAUCACUUGCGCUGUUCUGGCAGAUCGACACAACACCCGGCCGCGCGACGUUCCUCGCAGCUCUCGAUGCGUGCUCGGGCCUCUCGAGCCUCUCCCACUGCCGCCAAGUUCACGCAGCGGCGGAUCACACUGGCUGGAUCUCCGAUCUCGCCGUGGCGACUUCACUGGUGGCGAGCUAUGGAAAAUGCAAGGGAGUGGAGGAAUCCAAGGCAGUGUUUGAUCGCAUCGAGCACCCAUCCACUGUCUCGUGGAACUCUUUGCUAAGAUCAUAUGCCCAAAACGGGCAUCUCGCCAAGGCCGCGAGUUUCCUCGAGGAAACCAUUCCUUCUCCAGACGUGGUCUCGUUUAACACGCUCGCGGCGGCUUAUAUCCAGCACGGGAGAGUGAACGAGGCUCUGGAGAUUCUCACGAAAAGGAUGCCCUGCUGGGACAGCUUCUCGCACAACACAGCUAUGGUGGCGCAUGCCCAAGCCGGGCAUAUCCACAAAGUGAAGGAAGUCUUUGAGAAAAUGGAGGAGCCAAGCACGGUCUCGUGGAACACCUUGAUUUGUAUCUUCGUCCAAGCCGGGGAAUGCGAGAGUGCUGCUCGGCUCUUUCACCAAAUGGAUCUGGAAGGCACCCAAGCGGACAAGGUGAGUUUCUUGGCUGUUCUUGACGCCCUUGGGAGGAUCACCGCUCUCCAAAAGGGAAAGCUUGUGCAUGGUGAGCUCCAUCACUCUAGGUUUCAAUCCGACGUGAUGACAAACAAUGCCGUCGUCAACUUUUAUGGGAGGUGUGGAUGCCUUCGAGGGGCAAAGGUGGCGUUUGAGGCAACGACAAGGCAGGACGUGGUUUCAUGGAAUGGAAUCAUCUCGGUGUAUGCGAACAAUGGUCAUUUUGAGGAGACUUUUGAUCUCUUCUGGAGGAUGAAGGAUUUCUUGUUCAAGCUCCCUAAGAAUACUUUAACUCUGGUCAUGCAAUCUUGGGUCGUGGGCCGAAUGGGAUCGCGGCAACAUUGAUGGUUCAUGCUGGAUGGAUAACACUAACAAGUUUCAUUCAGCGUAGAUUUCCAUCAGCCUAGUAGUGACAUUCCCUUCAUUUCUGAAUAGUAGCUAAUUAGCUUAAGCAUGGACGUCCCACGCGAUGCAUGCAGGCAUUGCCCAGCAGCAGCGCAUAUAAACCGAUGCAAGCUUGAAAUUGUAGCUCUCAAGUUUCAGUUCAAGAAAAAUGGCGAAAUUGCUUGUUCUUUCCUCCCUCCUCUUCGGCCUGCUGCUCUUGGCGGCCGAUGCAUCUCAGCGUACGUGCGAACUUCUGCAUUGCAAUUUCAAGAUUCUUGCUCUCUAAUCUGUGGAAUCCAUGUGUAGCGGUUGACAAGGAGAGCACCAGUGAGAAUUACAAUGUCAUUGUCGAGGGACCUCGUGAAGGCAGCGAGGCUGGCCCUGGUCUCAACAACGUUGUCACCCAGGAGCCCCCUGGAAGCACGGUAUGAUCAGGAGCUUUUGAUUAUGCGCCACUGUUUCUCCGUUUGUUAAUGCUGUAGGCCUCCAAGAUACAUACUGCUGCCUGAAGGAUGGUUUCGGAUCAUGUCUUCAGGAGUGCGACUCGGGCGUCAAGUACUACUGCUGCCUCAAGAAUGGAGUCGGCAGCUGCCUGCAACUCUGCGACCCCAAAGUCAAUUACUUCUGCUGCCUCAAGAAUGCAUUUCGCAGCUGUUUGCAGCUGUGCGACUUGUCCAAGAAACACUACUGCUGCAAGACGAACGUUUCUGGUUCCUGCGUUGGACUGUGCCCCAAAACGGUGAAUCUGAUGUGAUUUUGCUUGAUGAACAUGUGUGAAUGCAUUCAAAGAAUAAAUUGCUUCUGUGACAACCUUUCACUUUAACAAAACACCAUUUGCCAUCAGUGUAAAACAAUAUAAUCAUCUUCUGGGCUUGGCGCCACCAUUGCCUUUGCUCGCAGGCUUGCCACCUUUGCCUCUGUUCGCAGGCUUGCCACGUUUGCCUUUGCUCGCACCUUUGCCACCCGUCUUACCACCUUUUCCACCGCCUUUGCCAGGCUUGCCACUUCCUCGGGAUCGUGAGUCCUUCUUCAUGCGACGAUCCACCACAAGCUUCCCUUUGCCACCCUUGACCCUCACGCCCUUCUUCGCCACAACGAGCUCCCGCUUGGGACGCUUAUUGGUCGUCGCCGCCGCUUUCUUGUAAACCUUGUCCAUCAUCCUGUUCUUGGACUUGUUCGAGAUGUCCGGCUGAUCGGCAAUCGCCGCCGCUCUGCUUCGUGCUUGCUCCAUUUUCUUCAUCACCCUCCGCUUCUUGCGAGCCUUGGCCUCAGCAACCUUCUUCACGGGCCUGGCGUCUAUCGCUCUAAACUGCGCCCUCAUCGCCUGGACCUCUUCCUUGGUGAAUGGCUUCUGAAUCUUGCAGUGCCGCUUCUCGUCGUCCGCGAACCAUUCCGGGAGCCCCUCGUCGUCGAACAUGUACUUGUUGUAGGCGUCGUCGAUGAUCCUGUCUCUGUCCUUCUUCCGCAGCAUCUUCUUGGCGUAAGUGAGGAUCUCUGCCUUGGCGUCGCUGUCGUAGUCCUCCUCUUCGUCCGAGGAAGAGUCGGACGAACCACUCGGCUCGGCUGCUACAACCUCAAAGUCUUCCCGUGCUCUCUUGAGCUUUCCUGGCGCAACCGUGACAUCGCUCGGAGGAGCGUCCUUGGCAGUCUUGUCCUUGUUGGUAUCCGUCUCCGGGGUUUGAUCUAAACCGGCGAAGAUGUCUUGACUGAACCAUUGCUGUGCAAUCUGUUCCUUCGAGAGCUUGGCCUUGGGAAGCGACACGACCAGAGGAUUGGCCUCCUCCUCCUCCUCUUCUUCUACUUCGUUUUCUUCUUCCUCAGAAGCAUUCUCUUCCACGUCCUCCUAAGGAUAUUGUCAGCUGCUUGCAAGUUCUAGCACUUUCAUUUGGCUUACCUCCCACAGCUUUUCGUCUCCUGCGUUAGCCAUUCUUGCGCGUUUCCGCCGUGCAGUGUUGCUUUCAGUCUUGCUCCGGUAGCGUUCGUAUGCACGAUCGAGGAAAGAUUCCAGCUCGUCGUUGUAUCUGCGAGAGAUUACGUUAACACUUCAAGGCGUAGUUCUUACCUUUCGCGCUCGACGUCAGAAUCCACAUCAUUGUCUUCGUCAUCCUUCCGCUCCAUGUCCUGCUUACUCGUUUCAUCCUUCACAUUGUCAUCGCUGUCCAACAUGUCGUCAUCCGCAUCUUCCACCCGAUCCAAGCUUUUCUUCGCCUGGAAAAGUGUCCAACAUGAGCUCCUAGGCACAGACGAGAAAGCGGACAAACAAACCUUGAUUGAGCCCAAAGAGAACAGAUCCCGCUCGCCAUAAGUGUCUCCCAAGACAUCGACUUGCAUCCCUGUUCUAUUUCGUGCGUUUAGCUGCAGUGUUGUGGCCCAUCAACAUACACAACAACAAAAGAUAGACAAACAAUAUGUACCUUCUGUUUACGCUUGGCAGCCUUCUUCUUCGCCUGCUUGCUUUUCGAAUCCAUUAGAGACUUGAGCUCCUCCAUUUUCUUUAGCAUAUCCUCGUCUUCAUCUUCUUUUUCGUCGUCAUCCUUUUCAGCAGCCUUAUCACCCUCUGUUUCCUCCGAAGCUGACGUUUUCGAAAGAGCUUUUCGUACAUGCAGGCACCACCUGAGAGAACCAAAUGAGCAUGAAAGACAACAGCCACGAGAAGUAGAACCUACUUCAAAAGUUGCUUGAAUUCUUUCUUCCCCAGAACUCUAAGGUCUUCGCAUAAUGCUUUUAUCUACAAGAAAAAAAGUCCUCCAAAUCAAAACAAGCAAACGAGGAUUAGAUAUGAACGUACCUCGUCAGUUGUUUCAGCGUGGUCUUUGAUUGGCGAACUUUUCGGAUCCUCAAACGAAAUAGACGUGAUGCUACCAAGAAGCUCUAGAGGUUUUUCGGACCAGACGAAGUCUGCUGCCGUGCAGUCUUUACGAAAAGUAGUGUUUGCGUCAUCGUAUCUGCAGAAAAUAAAAAACAUAAAACCAAGAGUCUAUUUGACGUGAGAACCCACCCCUCGCGGUGACGUUUCUGUUUACUACUACGAAGAACGUCGAUCACCUACACAAUUUACUCGGCUUUAGCGCAAGCACCUUGUUUACAAUAACAAAACCCACCUUUGGGGGCUGAGGAAUCUCUUCAAAUAAAAAGCGAGGGUCCAAGUUACGCGGAUCGAUUUUCACGGGUGCCAGAUACUUGAGACCAACCACGUAUAUUUCAGCUGAUGUCGAACGACUUGCUAUGGGUUUCGUGACUUCCACCUUGGCAAACAGCUACCAAACGAUACAAGAGGCAAUGAAAUAUCACUCAAAAAACCAUGACAAACAUACCUGUUCAAAUGCAUACUUCAGCGCGUUAUAAUCUUGGGAUCGAAAAACCUGCAAGAAAAACCAAUUUUGGGAAUCAGAGAAGAAGGAAAAAUUCAAAAAUGGAGGAAGAAGAAGAAUUCUUCGUACCUUGGUGACAAACGUUCCUUUGGGAGCCAGAAACUUGGUAGCCAACUUCAAAGAAUCCAGGACAAGAGACGACUGCGUCAUGGCUUCUUUGGCCCAGGCACCUCCCACAUUGGGGGAGCCAUCGUGGAGCACAACAUCGACCAUCCUCAACCCGUUCUGGUCGAGAAUCUUCCCAAUAUCCGACGCGCAUUUUGGAGUGGUGAUAUCGCCCUGGAGCGACAGCGCCCCUCUCACGGGACGAAUCGGCACCAGAUCCACGCCGAUUACCACAGACCUCACGGGCAUCUUCUCCACGGCCACCUGCAUCCAUCCCCCGGGCGCCGCGCACAAAUCCAGCACCGAGUGCGCCGAGCUGAGGAAGCCAUACUUGCGAUCGAGCUGCACGAGCUUGAAUGCGGCACGGGAGCGGUAGCCCUGCUCCUUGGCGAGGUAGUAGAAGCGAUCCAAGCGGUGCUUCCCCUUCUUCGCCUUCCCCAUCCCUGCAAGACCUUCGAGGAACCCUAAAACCCCACUUUAGGUUUACAAGAAAUAUUCUGGUGGAUAUUCGAGCGCUUUUAAAAUGAGUCAGUCGACAUUGGAUACAAGCAAAUCACAUUCAUAAAGUCUUCCCUUCUUGGGUGAUAUGCUAGUUAUUUAUCUUAAGCAUGCAUCGCGUGGGGAUGGGGACGCCCACGCGAUGCAUGCAGGCAUUCCUCCUUUAUAAACAGAUGCAAAACCUUGUAUUGUCAAGCAUAAUAUUUCUGAUUUCAGUUCAAGGAGAAUGGCCAAAGUUCUUCUUUCCGCCCUCCUCUUUGGCCUGCUGCUCUUCGUAGUGGAUGCAUCUCGCAACACUCAGCGUACGUGCAAACACUUCCGCAUUCUUGCAAAUUGUUUCUCUAACCUGUAGAAUGGCUCUAGUGACUGGCAGGGAGAGCGAUGUGACUUACGUCAUCGAUGGGCCUCGUGAAGGUAACCAGGCUGCUGAUCUCAAUGUUAUCAUCCAGAACACCCCGAAACACGGUAACUUAAAUCACGUUAUGAUCUUCCUUGUUGUGAUCAUGAGCUGUCCUUGUGACAUUGAUUAUGCCACUGCUUUUCCGCUUUUGAUGCUUGCAGGCCUCCAAGAUACAUACUGCUGCCUGAGGAACGGCUUUGGAUGUGUUCAGGAGUGCGACUCCAACAUCAAAUACUACUGCUGCCUGAAGAAUGGAUUCGGAUGCCAACAGUUCUGCGAGGAAAACGUUAAUUAUUUCUGCUGCCUCAAGAAUGGAUUUGGCAGCUGCCAGCAGCUCUGCGACUCGUCCAAGGAACACUACUGCUGCAAAAAGAACGGCUUUGGGAGCUGCACUGGAAUGUGCCCCAAAACCGUGGACCUGAUGAAGUGAUCUGCGUUUGAUGAAAAGUGUAUGCAACAUCUGGAAUCAAAAGCUUAUAAUUGCUGAUACUCUUUACAAUUUUUUCGCUAGACAUUUACGUUUUUCAACUGAGUUUGUAAGUUCCCUUUUAGCAUAGCUUGCCAUGCCACUCCCGCUGGAUCGUCCAUUGGGAGACAGUAGUAGAACUGGAGACGUUACAGUCCCCUUUGAACAAGGUCUCAGCGCCUCAUUUAAGUAAAUCGUAAGAAAAAAAAACUUGGAAGCUGUUAUAGUCCCAUGUGCUCCACACGUGAAAGGUUCUAAGAAUAUCUUAUUUUAUGAAUAAUUGUUUAAACUUGAGCUUUAGCUCGAUUCAUAAGAUCGUCCCAACACACCUUGCGCUUUCUUCUCAUGUCUUCCAAUUCCAUGCUUAUAUUCAUUGCCGCCUUGUUUCUCAAUUGUCUAGCGCAUAAUGCAUCGUAGUUGCGUCUCGAUCAUACUCGUGAUCACCACCCUGCUCGAAGCUCAUCUCGUAAGAUCACAGGAAUCCACAGCCAAGCCAACACAAGCUGGGUACUCAAUGACACUGGAAGCGCCAUUGUCCUCCAAGCUCGAAUUACACUUGGCUUUACCACCCCUAGGAGCAAACCUCGCAAGAGUCUCAGUUCUACUUGUCAGUCUUCCUCCCAAUGGACGCCAUGGAACUAUCCAGCAGCGGUGGCAUGGCGAACUACGCGGAAACCUGUCCGGAAAGGAGCGUACCGCGACCUAGUGCUGAGCGACGUCGAUGAAAGCUUUGUGUGGUCGACCAACACGGGCCUCGAGAGCUCUGGAAUCUCGUAAUCCGGAGCAAAACUGGAGCUUUGCUGUGGCAGAGCUUUGAUCAUCCCGGUGAUGCUAUGCUCCCUGCCAGCCUCUAAAACCAGGGAUGAAGUUCUUGAUCGCUUUGAACUCCAGUAUGUUGGGAUAUUUUGGAGAGCUCUGGAGCUCCGACGAGGAAGGAAGAAGAAGAGAUAUCUUUUCUCUUCCUCGUCAAUAGCAGCUUGGAAAUCCACGGGACGAAAGGUGUUAUGUGGUCCACUCCAACGAUCGGUGAUGUUACUGAUCAAUACGGAUACCAGUUACUCAAGAUCUACUCGAACGGAGAGCUCCAUUUUACCUCGAGAUCAUUCAGCAGCAGCAACAGCACGAAGAGCAUCGACUUAAAACCCGCAGUUAUUCGGGAACAGCUUGCUUACUCGAACCUGUGGGAUCUCGUUCCAGACAGCUGACAGAUGCCUCUGUCCGGAGCUCAAGAACGACACCAGGAGAUCGUCAUCCAUGCAGUACGUUUCUUCCGGGGACAAGGAGAGAUGCAGGCCCGAAAAUGAACCUGGAAGAACCUGCGAAAACUCGCAACAUUACUACAUGCUCGAAGCCACAGUACGAUACUUCUACAAACCUCUAGAUUUAUCCAGUGCGCUCCACAACGUCUCCAGCAGCGUGCAUGGCCCUGUGUAUCAAAAACGGUUCGUGCAAAGCAGUGCUAAGCCAGGAGAAAACGAGUACCUGUUUCCAGAUGAAUGAAGUUUUUGCUUUGAACAGAACUCGCAACGUCGCUGAUCAAGCUUUGCUGUUUUCGAUCAAGUUGUACCAAGCUGGAGAUCUUCCAAAGCUCUCAGCACCAGGCAGCUCGCAGAACAAAGUAGCCAAGCAGCAGAAAAAGGCAAAGCCAGCCAUCGUCGCGGCUUUCCCUGUGGCAACCAUGGCUAUAGUCAUCAUUGCAAUGGUGAUCUGGAAGAAACAGAUAAACUCGUACCUCAAACACUACAAACCAUCGUUUCCAUCCGGUGCUAUGGACGUGGUUCGCGUCUUCACGUACCCGGAGCUCCACACUGCAACCAAAGCCUUCAGUAAGAAAAUCGGAAGUGGAGGCUUUGGCACGGUUUUCAAAGGAUACUCUCGGAUGGAUCCAAGGUUGCCGUCAAGCGUCUGGAAAGCUUCUCGAGCCAAGGAUACAAGCAGUUCAAGGCGGAGGUGAGGGCGAUCUGAAGCAUCCAUCACAAGAACCUGGCAAGACUCAAAGGCUUUUGCUCCCAGGAAUCACACCACUUCCUGGUUUACGAGUACGUAGCAAACGGAUUGCUAGACAAGUGGAUCUACAAGCCGCUGGAAGAGCUCAACUGGGACACGAGAUUCAGGAUAGUCGAGGAGAUUGCUCAAGGGAAUUGCCGAGGAAUGCAGCACUAGAGUCCUCCACUUGGAUAUCAAGCCGCAAAACCUACUCCUGGACGAAAACUUUGGUGUCAAGAUAGCAGAGUUUGGACAGUCGAGGAUGGUAGAGCAAGGAGAUCUAAGCGAUGCAAUGACAAUGAUCUGAGGAACACCCGGAUACAUGGCUCCGGAAUGGUGAGAGACAAACUGGACAUCUACAGCUUUGGGAUCCUUGUGCUGGAAGUGGCUAGCGGACUUCAAGCUUUCCAUACCUGUGUGUCUUGCGGGAGGAGCCCAAAGUUCCUGGCGGCAUGGGCGUUUGAGAAGCUUCGAUCUGGGAUGUUAAUGGAGAUGUUAGAAGAGAAGAGGGCCCGGCACGAAAUGGAGGCUACCUCUCAAGCCGAGAAGCUGCUUCGCAUUGGAGUGUGGUGCAUGGCAGCGCCCUGCAAUGGCUCAAAGGAGUGCCCUAAAAUUUAUUAUUAAGGAGUUAAAACUUUUACUUUAAUUUGUUAGGUUUUGUUUUACUUUGAAUAUUUGCCCAAUUUUUUCCUUUUAAUAUGUAUAAUACAUAAAUAAUAUUACUAAAACAUUGCUAUUCUUUAAAUGUCCACUUUAGAAUCAUGGUUUUUUUUUUUAAUCUUAUUAAAGAAGUAGGAAGAAAAAAUAAUUAUUACUCAGUGUUUUUGAAAAAUGGUAAAUCCUUAAAUAUGACAAUAUCAUUUUUAAAUGCCCAACCAAAUAGUAGAUGGAAUACCUUUCCUGAUUUAGUAUAACAAGUAGAAUUUACAGAUAUGAUGGUUGGUUUUGUUAUGGAUGAUUUUGUAAAAUUUGGAUCGGCAAAAUAUAUCAAUGGACAAUUUACCUUAUCAUAUCAGCUUGAUUCAGAUUAUUUCCACAUGAAGUAAAGCUUACUCACAAUCACAUAAAAACGAUUUCAAUAUUUAUAAGGUAUGCAUAAGAAAUGGACCACACCGUUCUGUCUUUUCUACAUUGUCAAAUGGGAACUUUCUGAAAUCUCUAAAUGGUUUAUUCAUGCUUGACAUGCAACUGGACUGCAAUCUAGUUUUACAUACAAAGAGUGUAAUUGUUUGGAGUACUCACACAAAUAACAAAGGCAAUGGAUGUUUUCUAAGGUUGCAAAAAGAUAGUAAUCCCAGUAAAUGCUGUACGAACUAAACGACCGUGUACUUUUCAUCAUAGAUUACCAUGUUGAUAACUCUGGACAUGUUAUAGUAUACAACACUGUAGAGCAAACUUGUAUAUGGCAAUCACCAAGAUGAGAAUUUAAAAUCUAGCAUUCACUCUACACAAAUAUGAGACAGAAGACAUAAGUUGAUGCUCCAGAAGCUCUUGCGAUGGCGCUUGGACCAGCCAUGUUUCCAAGCCGAUUAUUGCCAUGAGUUUUACAAGCCCCAAGCAGCGUCAUGUAGGCAAUGGAGCCCGGCUCGAUUGACAUGCUAUCGAUCACCUCUUGGACCUCAUCAAGCCGGCCAGUUCGCCCAAGCAAAUCGAUCACACACAUGAAAUGCUCCAAGUUUGGAGCUAUGUGAUGAUCGAGCACAACAGACUGAAACUAUGCUUACCACUCUCAAAGAGCCCGGCGUGGCUACAUGCACAGAGAACACUGACAAUCGUAACUUCGUCCGGAUCAAGCCCCUCAUGCUUCAUCCUCCAGAAGAGAUCAAAAGUUUCAUCAAAAUGACCGUUGUUUGCAUACGCCGAGAUGAUUCCAUUCCAUGAAACCACGUCCUGCCCUGUCGUUGCCUCAAAAGCCAACCUUGCCCCUCCGAGGUAUCCACACUAAGCAUUUGGUGUUGAGUAGAAAACUAAGCUGAAAGAAGAAUCUAAAUGCUGAAAAGAAUGGAAACAAUGAAUUUCUCUCUUGAAACUUCCUGAAAAUUAGUGGUACCCAAUGAUGUAAGAAAUGUGCUAGUGAAAAAAUCAAAGUAGAAAGAUCCAAGGACAAGGAGAAAUCCUUGUCCAAAAGCCAAAUUCAUACUUGAGAUUGAGAAAUUGUGCUUGCAUAAUGUCUGUCAACCUCAGCUACCUGAUUCAAUUGUGAACCAUGUGACAAUGAAUGAAAGUGUGAUGGUUCAGCUCAGUGCUUGGAAAGUUCUUCAAUUCGAACAUCAGAUCAGAACUGAAUAUAUCUCCCAAGAACAAAAAAUUAACACUUUGAAUUAAAAAUCUUAUUUCUUGACUUAACAAAGAGUUUGUCCUUGUUUAGCCAUAGGAUUACCUCAUCAUAAAUGGGUUAACAAUCUAAAUUUUUAACUUCCACCCAAAAAAAUCCUUGUCCAAACGCCAACUUCAUACUCAAGAUUGAGAAAUUAUGCUUGCAUAAUGUCUGCAGCUACCUGAUUCAAUUGUGAACCAUGUGACAAUUCUACCGGCAGUGUGAAUGAAAGUGUGAUGGUUCAGCGCAGUGCUUGGAAAGUUCUUCAAUUUGAACAUCUGAAUCUAUCUCCCAACAACAAAAGCUGAUCAUAAAUAUGUUAGCAAUCUAAGUUUUUAAACUGACAAAGGACAGCAUUCGAGGAAACAUCUAGUCUGGUUGUGCAUUUAAAAUGAUAUUGCCAUUUUUUAAAAACACUACUUUAGAAAGUGAAAAUCCUGAGUAAUAAUUAUCUCUUCUUCAGACUUCUUUAAUAAGAUCUAAAAGAAAACCCAUGAUUCUAUAUCUAAAAAUGGUUGGUAUAGAAUUUGGAUUUUCGUAAAUGACAUUUAAAGAGUAACAAUGUUAGAAAUAUUAUAGAAAUUAAAAUAAAAAAACUUGGUUAUAUUAAAUAUUCCUCUCAAAUGGUAUACAUUUACCAAUUAAAAUUUUCUGAAGUAAUAAUAAAAACUAAAAUAUACUAAACAUUUUAAUUUACUUAACUAAACUAAAAUAUAACAAACUAUCUUAAAGGAUUUAAAUAAUAAAAACUAUCCUGGUGCUCCAAUGCGAAGCAACUUCUCGACCUUAGAGGUAGCCUCCAUUUCUUUCCGUGCCCUCUUCUCUUCUAACAUCUCCAUUAACUUCCCAGAUCAAAGCUUCUAAAACGCCCACACCACCAGGAUCCCACAAGACACACAGGUAUGGAAAGCUUGUAAUCCGGUAGCCACUUUCAGCACAAGGAUCCCAAAGUUGUAGAUGUCCAGUUUGUCACUCACUCUCAUCUGCAACCCUUCUAGAGCCAUGUAUCUGUAUUCCUCAGAUCAUGGUCAUGACAUUGCUUAGAUCUCCUUGCUCCACCAUCCUUGACAGUCCAAAGUCUGCUAUCUUGACUCCAAAGUCUGCUAUCUUGACUCCAAAGUCUGCUAUCUUGACACCAAAGUUCUUGUCUAGGAGUAUGUUUUACAACUUGAUGUCCAAGUGGAGAACUUUAGUGCUGCAUUCCUCGUGCUGAAAAACUUCUUCCACUAUAUACGCCCCAAUCCAUGUGCACUUGAGUUUUCUUGGCCUCUUCCAACACUUCAAAUCAUAAAGUAGCACUUUAUCACCCACUGUAAACUCUUUCUUGCAAAGAUGAUGAUCACGCUAGGCUUUCCUAUGUUUUUGCAUCACCUUCAUGGCUUGGAAUGCUAACAACCUCUUCUCAUCCAAGUGAUCCAACUGCUAUAACAUGUUUUUUAUUGCUCCAUUCCAAUCCAAGUCAUGCUCAAUAGCUAGCCGAAGAGAGGGAAUUUCUAGCUUGAUUCGAAGAACUGCUUCUUGACCAUACACCAACUGGAAUGGUGAAUAUUGCAUUGUCACUUUGAAGGCAACUCUAUAAGCUCAAACUGCAUUUAACAACUGCUUGUCCCAGUCCAAUCUACUAGCUGAACAUGUCUUAGAAAUAAUAGUACAAAGAGUACCAUUUGUCUACUCCAUUUGUCCAUUGCAACAAGGAUAAUACAAGAGUAGAUUUCCUGUGCUUCAAACUAUAAAGUUUAGUGAGUGUAACUACCUCUAUCACUGACUAAAUCUAAAGGACAACCAAACUUAGUAAUAACUUGCUUGUACAAAAACUCACUAACUUUUCUGCCUAUAGCUUCCUUCAACACUUUUACAUCAACCCACUUAGUCACAUAGUCAAUACAAACUACCAUGUACUUGCAACGAGUAUGCUUAUUUGUUAGAAAAGGCUUGACAAAACCAAUUCCCCAUUUCUUGGAUGGCAAACACUAGCAAAGGUGGUUGCAACUGCAUCAUAUCUCUUCUUGAUAGUUUCCCAAUCCUUUGACAUGGAUCACAACCUUUCAAAUACUUUGAAAUAUCUUAGUGCAUAGUCAGCCACCAAUAUCCUAUCCUCUUUACCAACUCAAUCAUAGCUUCCUCACUAAAUUGUCCCCCAAAAGGUGAGUCAUGACAUGUAGAAAUAACUUGAGGUACCUCAUGAGCUAGCACACGCAGCCAGUGUGAUCUGCCGCUGCAUGAAUUUGGCGGCAGUGGGAGAGGCUCGAGAGGCCUAAGCACGCAUCAAGAGCUGCGAGGAAUGUCGCAUGGUCGGGUGUUGUGUCAAUCUGCCAGAAAAGCGAGAGUGAUUCUUCACAGUGACCAAGCUGGGCAUAGGCCACGAUGAUCGAGCUCCACACUGCUCCAUCUGAUUGAAGACACGCCUCCCACUGGCGAGGUGGCCUUGCUGGAGAAAACCGGCGAUGAGCACGUUGCAUGCCGUGACCAUGAUCUCCGGCGAGAUCUCGAGCAAGAACAAUGCUUGAUCGAAGUGUCUUUGCCGGGCUUGAGCUCUAGCGACGAUGCCCACAAGGAAAGAUCUCUCCUGGGCAUUGUCUUGAAGAGAAGUAUCACUUCGUCGAGGCAUCCAUUGUGAGCAUACGUUUCCAGAGCUCUCUCCGCUGCUUCUUCUGCUCGAAGAUGAGCUCGGCCCUCUCCACCGCACCGGAUCUCCCAAACAUCUUGAUCAAGGAGCUCGUGAUCGCUACGCAAGGAUCCGCAGGCUUGGCUCAAGUGGAAGAUCCUCUCACGGCACCAAGGCUGCCACAGGCGUCAAUGGCAAUGAUGUACGUAAGCUUGUUCUUGGGAACUUCCAUUGAAUCGAAAAGGUCCAGAGCUUCUUGCAGAUGCCCAAGCUGGGCAAGUGCUGUGAUCAUCGCAUUCCAGAGCGGCGUCUUUGUGGCUUUUUUGAUGAAAGAUCUCAAGCAACCAUGAGCAGUGAUGUUUAUCGUGAGCUGUCAGACUUUCAUACAAAUUAAUCGAUUUCACAAAAUGACCCUUUUUGGCAAUGUUGAGAGUUGCACGUUCCUGGAAUCAAAGAGAUCCUUUGCCUCCUGGAGCUGUUCUUGGCGAGAUGUGGCAUCAGUUAUCGUCGUCCAAGAGAUCACAUCAGCGCAAGGCAUUCGGUCGAAGAGCUCUUGUGCUUUGCAAGGAUCCCCUGAUCGGGCAUACGCGGACAGCAUCGCAUUCCAGCAAAUUGCAUUCCUGCCAAUGAUCCGUUUAAAGCACUGCUCCGCGCUCUCGGCCUUGCCAAUCUCCAUAAACCACAACAAUCACUGUCCCCAAGCGAUUUGGGUGUGAAUUCCAAGCCAGAUCUCUAUCCAGUUCCUUGGCAAUAGCAUCAAGCUGAUGGAAUCCGGCGCCACGCCCUCAAGAUCCAAGCCCCGGAAAAAUCCCAGCGCCUCUCUGCAAUGCCCAUUCUGGGCAUUCGCCGCGAUGAUCGUGUUCCAGGACACAAGAUCUCUCUCUGGCAUGGAAUUGAGGAUUGUCCAGGACUAAGUGAUGUAGUUGAAAGCUGCAAGAGAGAAGUCAAUAUGCUGAGUUCUUAUGUUAGUAUUUUUUUUUACAUCAAAUGGAAAACAUGCCAUAAUCCACACUUGUUAAUCCACACUUGUCCUGUUUGUUCUUAACAUUUUAUUUCCAGCUUUUUAUCUAAUAAUUAUGGGAACUGGUUCUGGAUAGACCAUUUCUCAAUAUGCAUCCUUAGAAAAAAACAUAACUACUUCCAGAUCUAAGGAAGUUUUCAAUUGCCAUUAAAAAGUGAUUCAAUAGAAGAAACUUAAGGACUGUAUAAAAGGGAUAAAGAACAUAUAAAUUAGGCUAAGUUUUUUUUUUCUUUUCUUUACAUUGGGAGGAAUAGAAAGAACAAUCUCUUACAAAACCACAAUCUCUUUCAUUAUAGAAUGUAAGGAGCUGAUUCAUAGCAGUGCGCGUCAUGGUGUCGCAUAUCAAUAAUCUGUCCAGCAGCUCGAUCAUCAGCUCCUUUCGCAUCACUUUGCUGGGUCUUUUUUGAUAUUUAAGGUGAAAAUUAUGAAAUCAUAAACAAUUUUCUUUUCCUAAUAUAAUUGUUUUCUGCAAAUUUUCAGUUGAAGACAUGGUGCAUUAUCUAUAGUAAGAGGUUUUAAAAAAAGUGUGGAGAAUUAUCAAUUGAGUGAAAUAUGGUAAUGAAUAUAUGAUGAAUCAUUAUAUAUUUAAACAUGUGCAAAUUUUUUUUUUUUUUGAGUUGCAUAUAAAAAUAUUAUGCAUACAAACACUUUACAAGCAAUUGAAACAUAAUCACUUUUUGAUUACUAUAUAAGCAAUUAAAACAUGAUUGUGUGUAUAAUAUUUUUGUCAUAUGAUAUGCUAUAUAUGCAUAGGGUAUGUCAUAUAUGCAUGGGGUAUAACAUCUUAAACUACCAAUUAUUUUUUUUGUUUUAUUUUUGUGUUAUUAAGUGCAGAUUUAUGAUCCCUUGAUUGUGAUCAUCUCUCUCUUUCUUUGUGUGCAUUUCAUUGUUUUUCAUUCUACGUGACUAUACUUCAUUUCUCAUAACUUGAAGGCACAUUUUGAUCACAAUGCACACUAAUGUAAAUAUAGUGUUUUGAUCCGUUUUGCAAGUGCUUCUCAUUUAGCACAGUUUAUUUAUAAUAUGAUACUUUUAUCUAAAGAUUCACUUGCUAGUUAAAAAAGCACUCCAUUUAACACUUUAAAAAUAAAAAAUAAAGCUUUACAUUCACUUUUGUGCUUCAAUUAAUUGUGCUCACCUCUACACCAAUCAUUUGCUACCAUUUGCUACCAACUUAAUAGUGACACUUUAUUUUUUGAUCCAAUGGAAUGGAUGAUGUUGCCACAAACAGCAGAAGAGGAUGUGACAAACUCUGCAAAAUACUGAUAUCCUCAUUGUAGUGCUUUUUGAACUCCGACUUCCAAGAGUAGAGGGAACCUACGCACCAAAAAUACUACUCUGAUUUGGAGCUCAAUGAUCACAAUACUUGUCCAGCUUGGGCAUUUGCAGGAAACUCUCGGAAGUCAUCCAUUCCAUUGGAUCAAAAAAUAAAGUGUCACUAUUAAGUUGUCGUGUAGACAAUGGCAAGGUUCUUGUGCUCUGCCAUUUUAAGCUCUUCAGUAAGCUCUACUAGCUUGGAGAAAAGAACAGUCACUUAUUUGGACUCUUUGAAAUAAGAGGUGAGAUUGUAGUUCUAAUAAGCUGAGCACCAGGAAGCAUUUCUGCAUAAUUUCCCUUUAUAAGGUCUGCAAACAUCUACAACAAUAUUAUCUACUGAGGGAAACUAGCAAUGCUAGUAACUUACAACCUCAGUAAACAUGGUUCAUGGCAGGUGGUACCACUUUGCUUCUGUGCAUUGGAAUCUUAAAUAUUGUGAAGUUUAAUUUAGACUUACCAUUUGGGUUAAACUUCUCUAGUUCCUAUUGAUUUUCUUUUAUAUUUAUUUAUCAUUCAUCAAGUGUAAAGUUUCUUUCAUUAUAGCAAGUAAUUUGUGAUGGUAGUUUUGGGGGAGGGGGGGUACACCUCCCAAAAGGAAAGGUGUACCAAAGAUGGGCGGCAUAGCAAAAAAAUGUGCAAAGUGUGUAUAUGUAUAUAUAAAAUAUAUAAAUAUAUGCUUAAAUUGAUAAUAUUUUAAAUACAAUUUUUUUGGUUUGCUUAAGCAAACCUAUAGGGGGACUGGGAUGGUAGUGAAUAUACGUAGAAUAUGCUUGGAUAUUCUAGGAUAUUCUACCAUCUAACGGUUGGUAUUCAUUUAGAUUAAUCUGGUAUUUAUAAUUUAUAAACAUGUUUAUAAUUUAUAAACUUUCCUAAACCCUUUCUAGUAUAUUCUUUUUUAUUCUAUCAUCUAAUGGUUGAUAUGCAAUAAGAUUAAUCUUGUGUUUAUAAAUUACAAACAUGCUUAUAAUUAUAAACUUUAUUUGAUCAAUUAGAUUAAUAAGUAAUNNNNNNNNNNNNNNNNNNNNNNNNNNNNNNNNNNNNNNNNNNNNNNNNNNNNNNNNNNNNNNNNNNNNNNNNNNNNNNNNNNNNNNNNNNNNNNNNNNNNAGCUUGGCUGUGGAUUCCUGUGAUCUUACGAGAUGAGCUUCGAGCAGGGUGGUAAUCACGAUAAUGAUCGAGACGCAACUACGAUGCAUUAUGCGCUAGACAAUUGAGAAACAAGGCGGCAAUGAAUAUAAGCAUGGAAUUGGAAGACAUGAGAAGAAAGCGCAAGGUGUGUUGGGACGAUCUUAUGAAUCGAGCUAAAGCUCAAGUUUAAACAAUUAUUCAUAAAAUAAGAUAUUCUUAGAACCUUUCACGUGUGGAGCACAUGGGACUAUAACAGCUUCCAAGUUUUUUUUUCUUACGAUUUACUUAAAUGAGGCGCUGAGACCUUGUUCAAAGGGGACUGUAACGUCUCCAGUUCUACUACUGUCUCCCAAUGGACGAUCCAGCGGGAGUGGCAUGGCAAGCUAUGCUAAAAGGGAACUUACAAACUCAGUUGAAAAACGUAAAUGUCUAGCGAAAAAAUUGUAAAGAGUAUCAGCAAUUAUAAGCUUUUGAUUCCAGAUGUUGCAUACACUUUUCAUCAAACGCAGAUCACUUCAUCAGGUCCACGGUUUUGGGGCACAUUCCAGUGCAGCUCCCAAAGCCGUUCUUUUUGCAGCAGUAGUGUUCCUUGGACGAGUCGCAGAGCUGCUGGCAGCUGCCAAAUCCAUUCUUGAGGCAGCAGAAAUAAUUAACGUUUUCCUCGCAGAACUGUUGGCAUCCGAAUCCAUUCUUCAGGCAGCAGUAGUAUUUGAUGUUGGAGUCGCACUCCUGAACACAUCCAAAGCCGUUCCUCAGGCAGCAGUAUGUAUCUUGGAGGCCUGCAAGCAUCAAAAGCGGAAAAGCAGUGGCAUAAUCAAUGUCACAAGGACAGCUCAUGAUCACAACAAGGAAGAUCAUAACGUGAUUUAAGUUACCGUGUUUCGGGGUGUUCUGGAUGAUAACAUUGAGAUCAGCAGCCUGGUUACCUUCACGAGGCCCAUCGAUGACGUAAGUCACAUCGCUCUCCCUGCCAGUCACUAGAGCCAUUCUACAGGUUAGAGAAACAAUUUGCAAGAAUGCGGAAGUGUUUGCACGUACGCUGAGUGUUGCGAGAUGCAUCCACUACGAAGAGCAGCAGGCCAAAGAGGAGGGCGGAAAGAAGAACUUUGGCCAUUCUCCUUGAACUGAAAUCAGAAAUAUUAUGCUUGACAAUACAAGGUUUUGCAUCUGUUUAUAAAGGAGGAAUGCCUGCAUGCAUCGCGUGGGCGUCCCCAUCCCCACGCGAUGCAUGCUUAAGAUAAAUAACUAGCAUAUCACCCAAGAAGGGAAGACUUUAUGAAUGUGAUUUGCUUGUAUCCAAUGUCGACUGACUCAUUUUAAAAGCGCUCGAAUAUCCACCAGAAUAUUUCUUGUAAACCUAAAGUGGGGUUUUAGGGUUCCUCGAAGGUCUUGCAGGGAUGGGGAAGGCGAAGAAGGGGAAGCACCGCUUGGAUCGCUUCUACUACCUCGCCAAGGAGCAGGGCUACCGCUCCCGUGCCGCAUUCAAGCUCGUGCAGCUCGAUCGCAAGUAUGGCUUCCUCAGCUCGGCGCACUCGGUGCUGGAUUUGUGCGCGGCGCCCGGGGGAUGGAUGCAGGUGGCCGUGGAGAAGAUGCCCGUGAGGUCUGUGGUAAUCGGCGUGGAUCUGGUGCCGAUUCGUCCCGUGAGAGGGGCGCUGUCGCUCCAGGGCGAUAUCACCACUCCAAAAUGCGCGUCGGAUAUUGGGAAGAUUCUCGACCAGAACGGGUUGAGGAUGGUCGAUGUUGUGCUCCACGAUGGCUCCCCCAAUGUGGGAGGUGCCUGGGCCAAAGAAGCCAUGACGCAGUCGUCUCUUGUCCUGGAUUCUUUGAAGUUGGCUACCAAGUUUCUGGCUCCCAAAGGAACGUUUGUCACCAAGGUACGAAGAAUUCUUCUUCUUCCUCCAUUUUUGAAUUUUUCCUUCUUCUCUGAUUCCCAAAAUUGGUUUUUCUUGCAGGUUUUUCGAUCCCAAGAUUAUAACGCGCUGAAGUAUGCAUUUGAACAGGUAUGUUUGUCAUGGUUUUUUGAGUGAUAUUUCAUUGCCUCUUGUAUCGUUUGGUAGCUGUUUGCCAAGGUGGAAGUCACGAAACCCAUAGCAAGUCGUUCGACAUCAGCUGAAAUAUACGUGGUUGGUCUCAAGUAUCUGGCACCCGUGAAAAUCGAUCCGCGUAACUUGGACCCUCGCUUUUUAUUUGAAGAGAUUCCUCAGCCCCCAAAGGUGGGUUUUGUUAUUGUAAACAAGGUGCUUGCGCUAAAGCCGAGUAAAUUGUGUAGGUGAUCGACGUUCUUCGUAGUAGUAAACAGAAACGUCACCGCGAGGGGUGGGUUCUCACGUCAAAUAGACUCUUGGUUUUAUGUUUUUUAUUUUCUGCAGAUACGAUGACGCAAACACUACUUUUCGUAAAGACUGCACGGCAGCAGACUUCGUCUGGUCCGAAAAACCUCUAGAGCUUCUUGGUAGCAUCACGUCUAUUUCGUUUGAGGAUCCGAAAAGUUCGCCAAUCAAAGACCACGCUGAAACAACUGACGAGGUACGUUCAUAUCUAAUCCUCGUUUGCUUGUUUUGAUUUGGAGGACUUUUUUUCUUGUAGAUAAAAGCAUUAUGCGAAGACCUUAGAGUUCUGGGGAAGAAAGAAUUCAAGCAACUUUUGAAGUAGGUUCUACUUCUCGUGGCUGUUGUCUUUCAUGCUCAUUUGGUUCUCUCAGGUGGUGCCUGCAUGUACGAAAAGCUCUUUCGAAAACGUCAGCUUCGGAGGAAACAGAGGGUGAUAAGGCUGCUGAAAAGGAUGACGACGAAAAAGAAGAUGAAGACGAGGAUAUGCUAAAGAAAAUGGAGGAGCUCAAGUCUCUAAUGGAUUCGAAAAGCAAGCAGGCGAAGAAGAAGGCUGCCAAGCGUAAACAGAAGGUACAUAUUGUUUGUCUAUCUUUUGUUGUUGUGUAUGUUGAUGGGCCACAACACUGCAGCUAAACGCACGAAAUAGAACAGGGAUGCAAGUCGAUGUCUUGGGAGACACUUAUGGCGAGCGGGAUCUGUUCUCUUUGGGCUCAAUCAAGGUUUGUUUGUCCGCUUUCUCGUCUGUGCCUAGGAGCUCAUGUUGGACACUUUUCCAGGCGAAGAAAAGCUUGGAUCGGGUGGAAGAUGCGGAUGACGACAUGUUGGACAGCGAUGACAAUGUGAAGGAUGAAACGAGUAAGCAGGACAUGGAGCGGAAGGAUGACGAAGACAAUGAUGUGGAUUCUGACGUCGAGCGCGAAAGGUAAGAACUACGCCUUGAAGUGUUAACGUAAUCUCUCGCAGAUACAACGACGAGCUGGAAUCUUUCCUCGAUCGUGCAUACGAACGCUACCGGAGCAAGACUGAAAGCAACACUGCACGGCGGAAACGCGCAAGAAUGGCUAACGCAGGAGACGAAAAGCUGUGGGAGGUAAGCCAAAUGAAAGUGCUAGAACUUGCAAGCAGCUGACAAUAUCCUUAGGAGGACGUGGAAGAGAAUGCUUCUGAGGAAGAAGAAAACGAAGUAGAAGAAGAGGAGGAGGAGGAGGCCAAUCCUCUGGUCGUGUCGCUUCCCAAGGCCAAGCUCUCGAAGGAACAGAUUGCACAGCAAUGGUUCAGUCAAGACAUCUUCGCCGGUUUAGAUCAAACCCCGGAGACGGAUACCAACAAGGACAAGACUGCCAAGGACGCUCCUCCGAGCGAUGUCACGGUUGCGCCAGGAAAGCUCAAGAGAGCACGGGAAGACUUUGAGGUUGUAGCAGCCGAGCCGAGUGGUUCGUCCGACUCUUCCUCGGACGAAGAGGAGGACUACGACAGCGACGCCAAGGCAGAGAUCCUCACUUACGCCAAGAAGAUGCUGCGGAAGAAGGACAGAGACAGGAUCAUCGACGACGCCUACAACAAGUACAUGUUCGACGACGAGGGGCUCCCGGAAUGGUUCGCGGACGACGAGAAGCGGCACUGCAAGAUUCAGAAGCCAUUCACCAAGGAAGAGGUCCAGGCGAUGAGGGCGCAGUUUAGAGCGAUAGACGCCAGGCCCGUGAAGAAGGUUGCUGAGGCCAAGGCUCGCAAGAAGCGGAGGGUGAUGAAGAAAAUGGAGCAAGCACGAAGCAGAGCGGCGGCGAUUGCCGAUCAGCCGGACAUCUCGAACAAGUCCAAGAACAGGAUGAUGGACAAGGUUUACAAGAAAGCGGCGGCGACGACCAAUAAGCGUCCCAAGCGGGAGCUCGUUGUGGCGAAGAAGGGCGUGAGGGUCAAGGGUGGCAAAGGGAAGCUUGUGGUGGAUCGUCGCAUGAAGAAGGACUCACGAUCCCGAGGAAGUGGCAAGCCUGGCAAAGGCGGUGGAAAAGGUGGUAAGACGGGUGGCAAAGGUGCGAGCAAAGGCAAACGUGGCAAGCCUGCGAACAGAGGCAAAGGUGGCAAGCCUGCGAGCAAAGGCAAUGGUGGCGCCAAGCCCAGAAGAUGAUUAUAUUGUUUUACACUGAUGGCAAAUGGUGUUUUGUUAAAGUGAAAGGUUGUCACAGAAGCAAUUUAUUCUUUGAAUGCAUUCACACAUGUUCAUCAAGCAAAAUCACAUCAGAUUCACCGUUUUGGGGCACAGUCCAACGCAGGAACCAGAAACGUUCGUCUUGCAGCAGUAGUGUUUCUUGGAC
rnacentral:lncRNA from 1 species